GCAAUGGGCGCAUGCUGAUGCAGCGACGCCGCGUGCGGGAUGACGGCCUUAGGGUUGUAAACCGCUUCAGCAGGGACGAAGAUGACGGUACCGCAAGAAGAACCUCCGGCCAACUACGUGCCAGCAGCCGCGGCACGACGAUACGU
rnacentral:rRNA from 1 species